rnacentral:rRNA from 1 species
UGGGGAAUAUUGCACAAUGGGCGAAAGCCUGAUGCAGCGACGCCGCGUGCGGGAUGAAGGCCUUCGGGUUGUAAACCGCUUUUAAUUGGGAGCAAGCGAGAGUGAGUGUACCUUUUGAAUAAGCACCGGCUAACUACGUGCCAGCAGCCGCGGUAAUACGUAGGGUGCAAGCGUUAUCCGGAAUUAUUGGGCGUAAAGAGCUCGUAGGCGGUUUGUCACGCCUGGUGUGAAAGUCCAUCGCUUAACGGUGGAUCUGCGCCGGGUACGGGCAGGCUAGAGUGCAGUAGGGGAGAUUGGAAUUCCCGGUGUAACGGUGGAAUGUGUAGAUAUCGGGAAGAACACCAAUGGCGAAGGCAGAUCUCUGGGCUGUUACUGACGCUGAGGAGCGAAAGCAUGGGGAGCGAACAGGAUUAGAUACCCUGGUAGUCCAUGCCGUAAACGGUGGAUGCUGGAUGUGGGGCCCUUCCACG